rnacentral:rRNA from 1 species
UCGGGAAUUUUGGGCAAUGGGCGAAAGCCUGACCCAGCAACGCCGCGUGAAGGAUGAAGUAUUUCGGUAUGUAAACUUCGAAAGAAUAGGAAGAAUUAAUGACGGUACUAUUUAUAAGGUCCGGCUAACUACGUGCCAGCAGCCGCGGUAAUACGUAGGGACCAAGCGUUGUUCGGAUUUACUGGGCGUAAAGGGCGCGUAGGCGGCAAUUCAAGUCAUCUGUGAAAUCUCCGGGCUUAACUCGGAACGGUCAGAUGAUACUGCUUUGCUAGAGUGCGGAAGGGGCAAUCGGAAUUCUCGGUGUAGCGGUGAAAUGCGUAGAUAUCGAGAGGAACACCUGAGGUGAAGACGGGUUGCUGGGCCGACACUGACGCUGACAGCGCGAAAGCCAGGGGAGCAAACGGGAUUAGAUACCCCGGUAGUCC